AGGUAAUUAGUUUAAACAAAACAUUUGAUUUCGGCUUAAACAACUUGUGGUUAAAGUCCACAAUUAACCUA
rnacentral:tRNA from 1 species